rnacentral:rRNA from 1 species
GAGAGUUAAACAGUACGUGAAAUUGUUGAAAGGGAAACGAUUGAAGUCAGUCAUGCCGGCGUUGGAUUCAGCUUGCUUCGCGGAGCGGGCGCAUUUCCUCGCAUGGCAGGUCAGCGUCAGUUUUGCGCGGCGUGAAAAGGCUCGGGUAAGGUAGCUCUCUUCGGGGAGUGUUAUAGACCUGGGCAGAUGCGCUGCGCGGGACUGAGGAUUGCAGCGGACACCUCUUCGGGGGCGCGGCGACCGAACCCUGCUCGGCCACCCGAGUUCGAUAGCGUGCUAACGGACGCGGGAGCGGCAGUGCACCGGAACAGGCAAGCCAGCGGUUCGCUUAGGAUGCUGACGUAAUGGCUUUAAACGA